rnacentral:rRNA from 1 species
UACAGAGGGUGCAAGCGUUGCUCGGAAUCAUUGGGCGUAAAGGGAGUGUAGGCGGCUUGUUAAGUCUUCUGUGAAAUCUACGGGCUCAGCCUGUAACGUGCAGAGGAAACUGGCGAGCUUGAGUGUCGGAGAGGAUAGGGGAAUACCCGGUGUAGAGGUGAAAUUCGUAGAGAUCGGGUGGAACACCAGUGGCGAAGGCGCCUAUCUGGCUGACAACUGACGCUGAGACUCGAAAGCAUGGGGAGCAAACAGG